UUCCAGACUCCUACGGGAGGCAGCAGUGGGGGAUAUUGCACAAUGGGGGAAACCCUGAUGCAGCGACGCCGCGUGGGUGAAGAAGCGCCUCGGCGCGUAAAGCCCUGUCAGCAGGGAAGAAAAUGACGGUACCUGAAGAAGAAGCCCCGGCUAACUACGUGCCAGCAGCCGCGGUAAUACGUAGGGGGCAAGCGUUAUCCGGAUUUACUGGGUGUAAAGGGGGCGCAGACGGCGAUGCAAGCCAGGAGUGAAAGCCCGGGGCCCAACCCCGGGACUGCUCUUGGAACUGCGUGGCUGGAGUGCAGGAGGGGCAGGCGGAAUUCCUGGUGUAGCGGUGAAAUGCGUAGAUAUUCGGAGGAACACCGGUGGCGAAGGCGGCCAACUGGGCUUUAGCUGACGCUGAGGCUCGAAAGUGUGGGGAGCAAACAGGAUUAGAUACCCUUGUAC
rnacentral:rRNA from 1 species